rnacentral:rRNA from 1 species
GACGAACGUUGGCGGCGUGCUUAACACAUGCAAGUCGAACGGAAAGGCCCUGCUUUUGUGGGGUGCUCGAGUGGCGAACGGGUGAGUAACACGUGAGUAACCUGCCCUUGACUUUGGGAUAACUUCAGGAAACUGGGGCUAAUACCGGAUAGGAGCUCCUGCUGCAUGGUGGGGGUUGGAAAGUUUCGGCGGUUGGGGAUGGACUCGCGGCUUAUCAGCUUGUUGGUGGGGUAGUGGCUUACCAAGGCUUUGACGGGUAGCCGGCCUGAGAGGGUGACCGGCCACAUUGGGACUGAGAUACGGCCCAGACUCCUACGGGAGGCAGCAGUGGGGAAUAUUGCACAAUGGGCGGAAGCCUGAUGCAGCAACGCCGCGUGCGGGAUGACGGCCUUCGGGUUGUAAACCGCUUUCGCCUGUGACGAAGCGUGAGUGACGGUAAUGGGUAAAGAAGCACCGGCUAACUACGUGCCAGCAGCCGCGGUGAUACGUAGGGUGCGAGCGUUGUCCGGAUUUAUUGGGCGUAAAGGGCUCGUAGGUGGUUGAUCGCGUCGAAAGUGUAAUCUUGGGGCUUAACCCUGAGCGUGCUUUCGAUACGGGUUGACUUGAGGAAGGUAGGGGAGAAUGGAAUUCCUGGUGGAGCGGUGGAAUGCGCAGAUAUCAGGAGGAACACCAGUGGCGAAGGCGGUUCUCUGGGCCUUUCCUGACGCUGAGGAGCGAAAGCGUGGGGAGCGAACAGGCUUAGAUACCCUGGUAGUCCACGCUGUAAACGGUGGGUACUAGGUGUGGGGUCCAUUCCACGGGUUCCGUGCCGUAGCUAACGCUUUAAGUACCCCGCCUGGGGAGUACGGCCGCAAGGCUAAAACUCAAAGGAAUUGACGGGGCCCCGCACAAGCGGCGGAGCAUGCGGAUUAAUUCGAUGCAACGCGUAGAACCUUACCUGGGUUUGACAUGGAUCGGGAGUGCUCAGAGAUGGGUGUGCCUCUUUUGGGGUCGGUUCACAGGUGGUGCAUGCCUGUCGUCAGCUCGUGUCGUGAGAUGUUGGGUUAAGUCCCGCAACGAGCGCAACCCUUGUUCACUGUUGCCAGCACGUUAUGGUGGGGACUCAGUGGAGACCGCCGGGGUCAACUCGGAGGAAGGUGGGGAUGACGUCAAGUCCUCAUGCCCCUUAUGUCCAGGGCUUCACGCAUGCUACAAUGGCUGGUACAGAGAGUGGCGAGCCUGUGAGGGUGAGCGAAUCUCGGAAAGCCGGUCUCAGUUCGGAUUGGGGUCUGCAACUCGACCUCAUGAAGUCGGAGUCGCUAGUAAUCGCAGAUCAGCAACGCUGCGGUGAAUACGUUCCCGGG